CUGUUGUUGUUGCUGGUGCUGGUGCAAUUUGCUGCAGUUGGCUUAAAUUCACUCGUUGCGUUUGGCAUUGUGGCUGCCGUUGCUGCUGCUGCAACUGCUGCUGCCUCUAAAUAACUUGAUUAUUUGAUGCAUUUGACUUUGCACUCUUACAAUUCAUGUCGUCGCGUCUGGCGGUCACAAUGCGGCUUCGGUUCUGGCUCCGGCUCCGGCUCUGACAUCGACAUCGACAUCGACAUCGGCUUGCCUCUUGGCUGCCCAGUUGGCAAUGACUCGAAUUCUGAGCAAUCGCAGCUGAUUGGCAGGCAGAAACACACAACUCACACAUGCACGCAGCGCACAUGCAAAUAUUCGGAUACUCACUUUUCAAGGCCCAUAAAUCGAAAUUGUCCAAUGCUUUAAAAUAGCGACGCAUCUGCGAGCGGCACAACGGCGAUGCGUCCGGAUUCCGUGCCGCAUCGAAGGGCUGCGAGAUGGCAAGAAAGCGUUUACCAAUGUUGUAUAAAUAAACUGCAAUGAAAGAUGCAAAUUAAAAUUAAUAAUCAAGUUAGAUGGAAAUUGGCAGGCAAAGACUACAUCAAGCUGACGGCGGCAAGAACUGAAGUUGCACUGUGGCGUUUCCUACGUUUCCCACAUUUUUUGCCACAGGAGUGAUCGUUUGGCAAUUCGAUAAUUAAGUACUUAUUUUCAGCAUUUGAAAAAAUUUGGAACGAACACAAAUUUGUUUUGCGGCAACAGUUAGUGCAGUCUCUGAACACCCUUAUCAAUGAUUUUGCGGGCUACUUAUUCAAUUGGGCGCGUGCCCGCAAACAGGAAAUCAACUGAUGUCAGCCAAAUAUGACAGCUUGGCAACCCGGCGAAAACUGAAAACCAAAACCAAAACCAAAAGAUCCGCUGCAAGCCAACAAGCAUGCUGCAUAGAAAUCGAUGCUAAUGAGGCGCCUCAACAUUUAUUUUUUU